rnacentral:lncRNA from 1 species
CCGCACAGAUGCCCUGCAGUUCCACCUCUGCAUGGUAGCCAAAGAGAGUCCUCUAAAUGAAGCAAUCUCUUUGAGCCUCUCAGCAUCCCCGCACUUCCAGCAUCACUCAACCCAGAAACAAUAGAAUCUACAAGGGGACUCCCUACAUGUUUCUUAUGAGGUCAGAAUUGCCAUCCUGGAAAGGUUUCCUUCGUCAGUCCAGGCAGGACUGUGCGGUUGGAAAAGGGACGGAUGCUGGUCCUGGAAGGGGCGUCGUUAUCUAGAAGCUCCCAACCUAAGUGGGUGACUCAUAGGGAGGGCAAGGAGAGAAGGACACAGCAAGCAACUUACAUGUAAAACAAGACGUGUGGGUUAUU